AACGAACGCUGGCGGCAUGCCUAACACAUGCAAGUCGAACGAGACCUUCGGGUCUAGUGGCGCACGGGUGCGUAACGCGUGGGAACCUGUCCUUAGGUUCGGAAUAACUCCCCGAAAGGGGUGCUAAUACCGGAUAAUGUCUUCGGACCAAAGAUUUAUCGCCUUUGGAUGGGCCCGCGUUGGAUUAGCUAGUUGGUAGGGUAAAAGCCUACCAAGGCGACGAUCCAUAGCUGGUCUGAGAGGAUGAUCAGCCACACUGGGACUGAGACACGGCCCAGACUCCUACGGGAAGCAGCAGUGGGGAAUAUUGGACAAUGGGCGAAAGCCUGAUCCAGCAAUGCCGCGUGAGUGAUGAAGGCCUUAGGGUUGUAAAGCUCUUUUACCCGGGAUGAUAAUGACAGUACCGGGAGAAUAAGCUCCGGCUAACUCCGUG
rnacentral:rRNA from 1 species